AUUGAACGCUGGCGGCAGGCCUAACACAUGCAAGUCGAGCGAGCGGCGGACGGGUGAGAAAUGUCUGGGAAAAUGCCCGAUGGAGGGGGAUAACAACUGGAAACGGUAGCUAAUACCGCAUACCAUCAGAAGUGCCCAGAUGGGAGUAGCUAGUAGGUGGGGUAACGGCUCACCUAGGCGACGAUCCCUAGCUGGUCUGAGAGGAUGACCAGCCACACUGGAACUGAGACACGGUCCAGACUCCUACGGGAGGCAGCAGUGGGGAAUAUUGCACAAUGGGCGCAAGCCUGAUGCAGCAAUGCCGCGUGUGUGAAGAAGGCCUUCGGGUUGUAAAGCACUUUCAGCGGGGAGGCGUUACCCGCAGAAGAAGCACCGGCUAACUCCGUGCCAGCAGCCGCGGUAAUUC
rnacentral:rRNA from 1 species